rnacentral:lncRNA from 1 species
GAGGCGGCAAGGUAAUGAACAUCGGGGGAGGCAGUGUGACAAACUUGACAAAUGCACAUGUGGCUAGAAGCAACAACCUCACUGUAUCAAAAAGACCACUUGAAGCCGGGGGCAGCAACUUGAUGGGAUCCAAAAAUGCACUUGCAGCAGCGAGGAGCUACGUUAUGGGCUCACAAGUUUUACAACAAGCUGGGGUGACCAGCACUACUGGCUCGAGUAAUUUACAGCUAGCUGGUGGCAGCAAGGUAAUGAACAUUGGGAGAGGCAGUGUGCCAAACUUGGCAAAUGCACAUGUGGCUGGAACCAACAACCUCACUGUCUCUAGAACUCCAAAUGUGGCUUGGGGCAGCAAGGUGAUGAACUUUGGGGGAGGCGGUACAAACUUGGCAAAUGCACAUGUAGCUGGAAGCAACAACCUCACUGUGUCUAAAACUCCAAAUGCGGCUUGGGGCAGCAAGGUGAUGAACACUGGGGGAAUUGGUACAAACUUGACAAAUGCACAUGUGGCUGGAAGCAACAACCUCACUGCGUCUAAAACUCCACAUGUGGCUGGUGGAAGCAACGUGAUGAACAUUGGGGGACGCGGUGCAAACUUGGCAAAUUCACAUGUCGCUGGAACCAACAACCUCACUGUGUCUAAAACUCCACAUAUGGCUGGGAGCAGCAGUAGGAUAGGUGGCGGGAAAAAACGCAGGACAUCAAAUGCUGG